AACGAACGCUGGCGGCAGGCCUAACACAUGCAAGUCGAGCGAGGACUUCGGUUCUAGCGGCGGACGGGUGAGUAACGCGUGGGAAUAUGCCCUUCUCUACGGAAUAGUCCUGGGAAACUGGGGGUAAUACCGUAUACGCCCUUUGGGGGAAAGAUUUAUCGGGGAAGGAUUAGCCCGCGUUGGAUUAGGUAGUUGGUGGGGUAAUGGCCUACCAAGCCGACGAUCCAUAGCUGGUUUGAGAGGAUGAUCAGCCACACUGGGACUGAGACACGGCCCAGACUCCUACGGGAGGCAGCAGUGGGGAAUCUUAGACAAUGGGGGCAACCCUGAUCUAGCCAUGCCGCGUGAGUGAUGAAGGCCUUAGGGUUGUAAAGCUCUUUCAGCUGGGAAGAUAAUGACGGUACCAGCAGAAGAAGCCCCGGCUAACUCCGUG
rnacentral:rRNA from 1 species